CAGUAGCCGCGGUAACACGGAGGGUGCAAGCGUUAAUCGGAAUUACUGGGCGUAAAGCGCACGCAGGCGGUCUGACAAGUCAGAUGUGAAAUCCCCGGGCUUAACCUGGGAACUGCAUUUGAAACUGUCAGGCUGGAGUCUUGUAGAGGGGGGUGGAAUUCCAGGUGUAGCGGUGAAAUGCGUAGAGAUCUGGAGGAAUACCGGUGGCGAAGGCGGCCCCCUGGACAAAGACUGACGCUCAGGUGCGAAAGCGUGGGGAGCAAACAGGAUUAGAUACCCGCGUAGUCCUGUCUCUUAUACA
rnacentral:rRNA from 1 species